rnacentral:misc_RNA from 1 species
GAUGAAGAACGGAGCGAAAUGCGAUAAGUAAUGUGAAUUGCAGAAUUCAGUGAAUCAUCGAAUCUUUGAACGCACAUUGCGCCCUUUGGUAUUCCUUAGGGCAUGCCUGUUCGAGCGUCAUUUAAACCUUCAAGCUAAGCUUGGUGUUGGGUGACUGUCCGCUUCACUGCGGACUCGCCUCAAAAUUAUUGGCGGCCGGUACAUUGGCUUCGAGCGCAGCAGAAACGCGAACUCGGGCCCGUCGUAUUGGCUCCCAGAAGCUAUCUUCACAAUUUUGACCUCGGAUCAGGUAGGGAUACCCGCUGAACUUAAGCAUAUCAAUAAGCGGAGGA